GCCUUUGCGGUGUAACGGUAACACACUCGGCGUAUAUUCGAGAGGUCCAGGUUCGAGUCCCGGCGAGGGCA
rnacentral:tRNA from 1 species